rnacentral:lncRNA from 1 species
CACUAAUGUUAUCUGUACCAGUAGUAGUAUCUCAGAAGAAAACUAAAUGCAGUUUAAUCACUGACUAUCAUAAUUUACUUCUUAAAAAGCAUGGUUUAGUAGACCCUUUUGCCAGUGAAGAUCUUCUUGUGCAACAUUUAGACAUUCAGAGGGAAGAUUCCAAAUCAGAUCGUACUAUUAAUCCUAGCAAAUUUUCCUCAGAUGAGAUCUCCCAUCAUCUUGAGUCUAUAAAUCAUAUUAUGGAUUGCGCCCCUAUGUACACAAAAGGUAGUUUAAACACACACCAUUUAGUUUUUGAUGCUGAUAAUGAAAUAUUUACAGAAGACAAAACAGUUUGUUUUAAAAACUUAAACUAUGUACAUAAACUAUCUACUUAUAGGCAUGAAAAAAUUAAGCCAGAAAAGGGCCAGGAAGAUAAGAAAAGUGAGAAAAAUAGGAACAAAAAUGGGAGAAAUUUUAAUAUAUGGCAAAGUGUUAUAAGCAAUAUUUUUGAUAAAACUUCAUAUUAUUUUGGAAAGAUAUAUAAAAAAACUAAUGAUAAUGACGAUUUCACAAAACAUAAAAUUAAUAAAAAUAUGAAAGCAGAGAGACAUAAGGCUAAAUAUGCCCGUGAACAAACAAAAUAUGAAUGUCAGGAUGUGAAUGUUUUUUAUUCUUUUAAUAAUAAAGUAAUGCAAUGGAAAAAAUAUGUUACUGCAGAUUCAGAAAAUGGUAACAGAAACACUGUCAGACUCCAAAUUCUGGAAAAAGAGUCUGUUUUCCAAAAUGCAAUUCAAAAUGGUAAAUUGAUAACAAAUACAGGCUUAGACUGGAAAGAUGCCAGUUCCUCCUUAAGAAUCCAGGAAUUUAAUUUAAAGCUAGUUAAGGAAUCAAGAAAGAUUAUUCAAGCAAAUAUUUGUGUAGAAGAAUUGCAGCAACUACAGAAAGAGUUUGAAAAGCUUCAGUACAACUUCUCCAUUUCUCCAUGUGAAGAUAUUUACAAGAAAAGAAAACAAGCAACAACUUUGGUGGAACAUAGAUGUAAAUUAAAUAUUGGACACGAGAAGUGUAUGAAGACCAAAAUGCAUUUACUGCCAGAAGUCCAAGGUCUAAUGUGGGAAAUCAGAAACAACUGUGGAAGCCAAAAGACAGAAUCAGAUAAUGGGAAAUUACCUGCCAAUGAUCUCAAAGAAAAAAAUCCUUUGAAUUCAAAUAAGAAAGCUAAGAAUGACCAGUAUUCUGAAAAAAAACCACCUCCCACAAAUACUAAGAAAAAGCCAAAUGCUUCAGGAAAAAAAUAUCUAGACCAACAGGACGUCAAAGAAGUACAAGAGAACAAUCUAAUGAAUCAAAGUUGUAUCAUUAGUAAUGAAAAUGAACGGCUACUUCACUUAACCCUGGAUUUGAAUACAUUCGGUGCCAUUGUAACUUCUAUUUUUUCAUCUAUGAUACCUAUAGGUAAAAAGGUAAGUUUCUUC